CACCACUCAAGCCUGGCUUGGUGUUGGGCGACGUCCCCUUCGGGGGACGCGCUUCGAAACGCUCGGCGGCGUGGCACCGGCUUUAAGCGUAGCAGAAUCUUUCGCUUUGAAAGUCGGGGCCCCGUCUGCCGGAAGGCCUACUCGCAAGG
rnacentral:misc_RNA from 1 species